UACGUAGGGCGCAAGCGUUAUCCGGAAUUAUUGGGCGUAAAGAGCUCGUAGGCGGUUUGUCGCGUCUGCCGUGAAAGUCCGGGGCUCAACUCCGGAUCUGCGGUGGGUACGGGCAGACUAGAGUGAUGUAGGGGAGACUGGAAUUCCUGGUGUAGCGGUGAAAUGCGUAGAGAUCCGGAGGAACACCAGUGGCGAAGGCGACACGCUGGGCCAUACCUGACGCUAAGCGCGACAGCAUGGGGAGCAAACGGG
rnacentral:rRNA from 1 species